rnacentral:lncRNA from 1 species
CGUGGUCGUCGUGGUCGUGGUCGUGGUAUUCGUAGUCGUCGUCGUAGUCGUAGUCGUAGUAGUAGUCGUAGUCGUAGUAGUAGUCGUGGUAUUCGUAGUAGUCGUGGUAUUCGUAGUCGUCGUCGUAGUCGUAGUAGUAGUCGUAGUCGUAGUAGUAGUCGUAGUAGUAGUCGUAGUAGUAGUCGUAGUAGUAGUCGUCGUAGUAGUCGUCGUAGUAGUAGUCGUAGUAGUAGUAGUCGUCGUAGUAGUAGUCGUCGUAGUAGUAGUCGUAGUCGUAGUAGUAGUCGUAGUCGUAGUCGUAGUCGUAGUCGUAGUAGUCGUAGUCGUCGUAGUAGGCGUAGCCGUAGCCGUAGCAGUAGCGGUAGCCGCGGUAGCGGUAGCGGUAGCCGCGGUAGCGGUAGCCGCGGUAGGGGUAGCGGUAGCAGUAGUAGGAGUAGGAGUCGUAGUAGUAGUCGUCGUCGUAGUAGUAGUCGUCGUCGUCGUAGUCGUAGUGGUCGUAGUCGUAGUCGUCGUAGUGGUAGCAGUCGUUGUCGUCGUAGUGGUAGUCGUCGUGGUCGUCGUAGUGGUAGUCGUCGUAGUGGUAGCUGUCGUGGUAGUCGUAGUGGUAAUCGUCGUGGUGGUGGUAGUAGUAGUGGUAGUGAUAGUAGUCGUAGUAGUAG